rnacentral:lncRNA from 1 species
AAUCAUACAGGCUUAUACUGGCUUAUACUGGGAUCACACUGGCUUAUGCUGGGUUGUACUGGGGUCAUACUGGUUUAUACUGGCUUAUACUGGGAUCAUACUGGGUUAUACUGGUUUAUACUGGGAUCACACUGGUUUAUACUGGGAUAUACUGGGUCAUACUGGGAUCAUACUGGGAUCACACUGGCUUAUACUGGUUUAUACUGGGAUCACACUGGCUUAUACUGGGUUUUACUGGGAUAUACAGCCUUACACUGGGAUCAUACUGGCUUAUACUGGUUUAUACUGGGAUCGUACUGGUUUAUACUGGUUCCUACUGGGAUGACAGCAGCAGCAAACCUCAGAAUUCUGAUUCAAAACCACCAUUUAAGUUAAAAACUCCCAAUUUUGGCCCCAUUUGGGUCCAAAUCCCCCAUUUUUGGGAGUGGGGAAAAAAAAACGCACUUUUUUUGAAGGGCCCCAUUUUGCCCUUUUUUGCCCUUUUUUCCCCCAAAACGCUGAGUCACCGCGGCGCCCAUUUUGAGGAAGAAAGCCUGGAAAUGACGAGUGCAAAAAAACGGAACUUUGGGGGCAGAAUUUGGGAACAAAAACUGCAUUUCUGUCAGCAAAACCGGGCAGGAAAUGCAUUCAUCCCGACGAUGCGUUUUCCAGCACUUUCAAUUUUGCCCGAUUUCGCUCUUUUUCACCCCAAAAUUUCCAUCGGAACAAAACGCGGGGUUUUUGUCAGAGCCCCAAAUGCCCCAAAUUUCGGGUUUUUCCCUCAAAAAAAAUCCUCAAAAAUUGAAAUUGACCAAAAUAUCUCCGUUUGUUGAUCCGUCGGUAUCCAAAAUUGCUCAUUUUUGACACCAAAAUCCCCAAAUUUGGGGUUUUUACCCCAUUUUGAGGCUCCUCUCCAUCCCAAUAAUAAGACAAAGAUCCACGUGUCCCAUUUUGCCCAUUUUUGCCCUUUUUUCCCCCAAAAUCCAUCCAGGAUUUUCUCCUCACAUCACCUCGCUCCGCAUCACAAAAUUGCCCAAAUUUGGGGUUUUUCCCUCAAAAAAAAUCCUCAAAAAUUGAAAUUCACCAAAAUAUCUCCGUUUGUUGAUCCGUCGUCACCCAAAAUUGCUCAUUUUUGACACCAAAAUCCCCAAAUUUGGGGUUUUUACCCCAUUUUGAGGCUCCUCUCCAUCCCAAUAAUAAGACAAAGAUCCACGUGUCCCAUUUUGCCCAUUUUUGCCCUUUUUUCCCCCAAAAUCCCUGCGAUCUCCUCCUCACAAACCACCUCGCUCCGCAUCACAAAAUUGACCAAAUUUGGGUUUUUCCCUCAAAAAAAAUGCUCAAAAAUUGAAAUUGACCAAAAUAUCCCCGUUUUUUGAUCUGUCGUCGCCCAAAAUUGCUCAUUUUUGACACCAAAAUCCCCAAAUUUGGGGUUUUUUACCCCAUUUUGAGACCUCACCACGUCCCAACAAUGACACCAAGCUCCGUUUUGCCCAUUUUUGCCCUUUUUUCCCCCAAAAUCCCUCCAGGAUUUCCUCACACACCACCUCACUCCGCAUCACAAAAUUGCCCAAAUUUGCGCUUUUUCCCCCGAAACAAAAGUCUCCAAAAAGCCCCAAAUCCCCCCAAAACGCCCCAUUCUCCUCUCCCAUCACCCUUCACCCAUCCAACACCCAAAAAA